rnacentral:rRNA from 1 species
GACGAAACUUGCGAACGUUGUUCGGAAUCACUGGGCUUAAAGGGCGCGUAGGCGGGCAACCAAGUCCGAGGUGAAAGCUCCCGGCUCAACCGGGAAACUGCCUUGGAUACUGGUUGUCUUGAGGGAGAUAGGGGCGAGUGGAACUUCCGGUGGAGCGGUGAAAUGCGUUGAUAUCGGGAGGAACGCCGGUGGCGAAAGCGACUCGUUGGACCUCUUCUGACGCUGAGGCGCGAAAGCCAGGGGAGCGAACGGG